ACAAUAAUCGGACACAAUCGGC
rnacentral:miRNA from 1 species